AACGAACGCUGGCGGCAUGCCUAACACAUGCAAGUCGAACGAGACCUUCGGGUCUAGUGGCGCACGGGUGCGUAACGCGUGGGAACCUGCCCUUAGGUUCGGAAUAACUCCCCGAAAGGGGUGCUAAUACCGGAUAAUGUCUUCGGACCAAAGAUUUAUCGCCUUUGGAUGGGCCCGCGUUGGAUUAGCUAGUUGGUAGGGUAAAAGCCUACCAAGGCGCCGAUCCAUAGCUGGUCUGAGAGGAUGAUCAGCCACACUGGGACUGAGACACGGCCCAGACUCCUACGGGAGGCAGCAGUGGGGAAUAUUGGACAAUGGGCGAAAGCCUGAUCCAGCAAUGCCGCGUGAGUGAUGAAGGCCUUAGGGUUGUAAAGCUCUUUUAACCGGGAUGAUAAUGACAGUACCGGGAGAAUAAGCUCCGGCUAACUCCGUG
rnacentral:rRNA from 1 species